rnacentral:rRNA from 1 species
GUGGUGAAUCUUGCGCAAUGGGCGAAAGCCUGACGCAGCCAUGCCGCGUGAAUGAUGAAGGUCUUAGGAUUGUAAAAUUCUUUCACCGGGGACGAUAAUGACGGUACCCGGAGAAGAAGCCCCGGCUAACUUCGUGCCAGCAGCCGCGGUAAUACGAAGGGGGCUAGCGGUGCUCGGAAUUACUGGGCGUAAAGGGCGCGUAGGCGGACAGUUUAGUCAGAGGUGAAAGCCCAGGGCUCAACCUUGGAAUUGCCUUUGAUACUGGCUGUCUUGAGUACGGGAGAGGUGAGUGGAACUCCGAGUGUAGAGGUGAAAUUCGUAGAUAUUCGGAAGAACACCAGUGGCGAAGGCGACUCACUGGCCCGUUACUGACGCUGAGGCGCGAAAGCGUGGGGAGCAAACAGGAUUAGAAACCCUAGUAGUCC